GUGAGGAAUUUUCCGCAAUGGGCGAAAGCCUGACGGAGCAAUGCCGCGUGAGGGAUGAAGGCCUAUGGGUUGUAAACUUCUUUUCUUAGAGAAGAAUAUUGACGGUAUCUGAGGAAUAAGCAUCGGCUAACUCUGUGCCAGCAGCCGCGGUAAGACAGAGGAUGCAAGCGUUAUCCGGAAUGAUUGGGCGUAAAGCGUCUGUAGGUGGCUUCAAAAGUCUCCUGUCAAAGAUCAGGGCUUAACCCUGGGCCGGCAGGAGAAACUCUGAGGCUAGAGUUUGGUAGGGGCAGAGGGAAUUCCCGGUGGAGAGGUGAAAUGCGUAGAGAUCGGGAGGAACACCAAAGGCGAAAGCACUCUGCUGGGCCACAACUGACACUGAGAGACGAAAGCGAGGGGAGCAAAAGGGAUUAGAAACCCCGGUAGUCC
rnacentral:rRNA from 1 species